UAUAUAUAUAUAUAUAUAUAUAUGCACUAUUGCAUAAUAAGGAUCACAUGAAAAACUUCAGCCGAGCAAGUGAUAGAGACUUGACCACUGAAUAAUGAAAAUUUUGCUCCUAUUUCUUCUUCUUAUGGUUGGUGUCGCAGCGUCUACUACGGCGAAAAGAGCUACGCCGAGGUGUGAUGGCAUUCUCUGUGACCAGUUAAGCGGUUGUUGCUUACAGUAUGAAUGCGUACAAGCACACCCUAGUUUUCCUUAUCGGCGAUGUGUAAAAAAGGUGCCGCCAAAACCAAAACCCGGUUAAAUCUCAUUCUAUAUAUAUAUAUAUAUAUA